UACGUAGGGUGCAAGCGUUGUCCGGAAUUAUUGGGCGUAAAGAGCUCGUAGGCGGCUUGUCACGUCGAUUGUGAAAGCCCGAGGCUUAACCUCGGGUCUGCAGUCGAUACGGGCUAGCUAGAGUGUGGUAGGGGAGAUCGGAAUUCCUGGUGUAGCGGUGAAAUGCGCAGAUAUCAGGAGGAACACCGGUGGCGAAGGCGGAUCUCUGGGCCAUUACUGACGCUGAGGAGCGAAAGCGUGGGGAGCGAUCAGG
rnacentral:rRNA from 1 species